rnacentral:sRNA from 1 species
GUCGUGAGAUGUUGGGUUAAGUCCCGCAACGAGCGCAACCCCUAUCCUAUGUUGCCAGCGCGUUAUGGCGGGGACUCGUAGGAGACUGCCGGUGCCAAACCGGAGGAAGGUGGGGAUGACGUCAAGUCCUCAUGCCCCUUACGUCCAGGGCUGCACACGUGCUACAAUGGCCGGUACAAAGGGUUGCUACUCUGCGAAGAGAUGCCAAUCCCAAAAAGCCGGUCUCAGUUCGGAUCGCAGUCUGCAACUCGACUGCGUGAAGCUGGAGUCGCUAGUAAUCGCAGAUCAGCAUUGCUGCGGUGAAUACGUUCCCGGGCCUUGUACACACCGCCCGUCACACCACGAAAGUUGGUAACGCCCGAAGCCAGUGGCCCAACCCUUUUGGGAGGGAGCUGUCGAAGGUGGGAUCAGCGAUUGGGGUGAAGUCGUAACAAGGUAGCCGUACCGGAAGGUGCGGCUGGAUCACCUCUUUUCUAAGGAGCUCACACUGCUCGAUAUUUGACCAAGUGCCGUUACGGGCUUGCGAGAUAGCGAGUAGCUCCUACGUCGAUCACUGGCCAGUCGUGUUGUCUGGCACCCGACCCCAUACGGUCCGCUUCGGCCCACCGUGUGGCACCACCGGGGUCUUCAACACGGCGCCGCGUCACUGUUCCGUUGUGAGGGAGUGGAGCGAUGGGCAACUGCCUACGCGCUGCUCCUCUCGGGACCAAGCGCCGCCUCCGCAGCUCGCUCUCACCAGAGCAGCAGCUGCGUUGCGGCCGGUCUCAGCAGUUCCUUGAGAGUUGAAGAGUGAGCACGAGCAUCUAGAAAACAGUGCAAGAAGUACUCCCAAGCUAUAAAGAGCCAACGGUGGAUGCCUUGGCGCCAGAUGCCGAUGAAGGACGUGGGUGGCUGCGAAAAGCUACGGGGAGCUGUCGACCAAGCUUUGAUCCGUAGAUAU